AAUACUUUGACAGUGGAUCCAAGCCCUCACAAGACUCUCUGGGUUAUGCUGACAACUUGAUUUUCCUGAUGAUCUUUGAUUUUACUGCCCUUAUUUGUUUUACAAGGUAAAUUUGGCAAUGAAACCAUCGGAUGUUUAAAAAGAGCACAGAUGGAAUGGAUCCAUAGGAGUUUUCUGGCUCCUGGACAGCAAAGCAUCAGACAAAUGCAAGUGAUGGGCUACAGUCAUUGACAUCAUUCAAAUCCUUCCCACUGUGCUGAUGAGGCAAUAAAUAAAGUGUGCUGCAGAAUCUCAUCCCCACGGCCUUACAUCAGCUUUUACUAGAGCACUCUGAAACAUUUGGCUUCAGGACUUCAUUAUUUUUUCAUUUCUUUUGGAUCCUAAGCAUCAUCUAACUGUAUCUGAACCAAUAAGCAUAUAGACCAGUAAGCUACA